CGUCUAUAUACGUAUAGCAUAUCAAUAAGCGGAGGAAAAGAAACUAACUAGGAUUCCCUCAGUAACGGCGAGUGAAGCGGGAAGAGCUCAAAUUUGAAAUCUUAAAGGGUUUCCCUUGACGAAUUGUAGUUUAAAGAAGUGUUUUCUGUUGGAGUUUUCGGUAAAAGUUCUUUGGAAUAGGACAUCAUAGAGGGUGAGAAUCCCGUAUUUGACCAUUAUUUCCAACUUUGUGAUACACUUUCAAAGAGUCGGAUUGUUUGGGAAUGCAGUCCAAAAUGGGUGGUAAAUUUCAUCUAAAGCUAAAUACUGGCGAGAGACCGAUAGCGAACAAGUACCGUGAGGGAAAGAUGAAAAGAACUUUGAAAAGAGAGUUAAACAGUACGUGAAAUUGUCAAAAGGGAAGCGUUUGACACCAGUGUUGUUUUCUCGAAAAUCAAUUAAAAAUGGUGGGAUGUUGUGUUGUAUUGACUUUAUCAGCUUUCUGCACUUUUUUCCUAUCUUUUUUAAUGCACUUUUCGUUUAACAAGUCAACAUCAAUUUCUUUUGUUGUAAAAGAGUCAUUGGAAGGUGGCUUUCUUUUCGGAGAAAGUGUUUAUAGCCUUUGACUUCUGCAAUCGGAGAGAUUGAGGUCUGCAGCGUAGAUCCUUCGGGGUUAGAUACAUUUGUGCUAAGCUAUAGCCUUUCAUAGACAACUUGUUGACUAUGAUCAGUCAUGUAGCUUACUCGCUUAUGUCAUUUUACCUACGCUUAGGAUGUUGACGAUCAGCUGAGCGCG
rnacentral:rRNA from 1 species